UAAAUAUAUCAAAAAAUCUCUCCCUUUUUCUGAAGGGGACCGGGGGAAGAAUUCCAUUGUCAAAGCAAAGGGGAAAUCCUUAUUUCUUUUUUCUUUCCUUUUGGUAGGAGAAAGACAUAUGCGGUUGGAUUAGUACAAUUAUUGGUAGCAUUAUAGUCAGUAUUCCAAGAAAUGCUGGCUUUUUCGAUUGCCCCCGAUGCAUGUAAUGGAAUCGAGUACUAUACUUUUUUGAGGCGCGCAUACACAAAAGGAAUUCCUUUGUUGUCCAAUACAAAAUUGAAUAUAAGAAAAUACUUUCCAGAAAAAACAAAAAAAAAAAAAAACAAUUUCUUUUUCUGGCUACGGAUUUAUGGAACCUGACUUACUAGUUUGAAGUUGCAAAAUAGAUUUCAUGCAAAUUGCACACUGAGCUUUUGGUAUAGGUGUCCCGGGGCUAAUAAUCGACGAAGAAAGGAGGGGGAAGGACAGAUCAACCAAAGAUCCUACUCCUCUUAGAAAGGCGAAUGAAUCAUUUUUCCUAUUUUUCAUUUUGUUUUAAGGCCCCAUCGACGAACGAACAAAUCGGAAAAUAGUCAAUUUGAUGAAUAUUCAUUUUAUACGGUCUCAUCUUUAUCACACUUCUUUGUCUUCCAAGUCAAAAAUAGUUUCGUUCUAAACUCCUUUCUUUUUCCAUUUAGCUUUUAUUGUUUGUUUGGGUUUGUAACUAUGUGACCACUGGAAGUGGAAGAGCUAUUUGAUGAGACUUCAUCAGAUGAUUGUACAAGAAGGAACUAGAUAGAUUAGAGAGAAAAAAAGAACAGAUAAUAAAAAAUGAUAAAUAAAUAAAGGAAUUUUGGGUUAGGUCAGCAAUCCGAGUUUGGGGCGGUAUGGAUAAAAGAACUUCCUAUGUUAUACUAUUCAAUUCUCGACGACGAAUUUAUUUGAUAGUUCAGAUAUUGUUAUUCAUGAUAUUGAUCUGAUUCAAGAUCAUCGAGAGGUAAUAUUCAUUCAUUGAAUUUACAGGCCAAAGAUUUAUCAUCUCUAUGGGAUUAAAUCCCGAGUUAUUGCGAAGUAAAAAACCGAUGAGAUUAUGGAAGUAAAUAUUCUUGCAUUUAUUGCUACUGCACUAUUUAUUCUAGUUCCUACCGCUUUUCUACUUAUCAUUUAUGUAAAAACAGUCAGUCAAAACGAUUAAUUAUUAACUAAUUUGAAUGAAACUUGACUUCUGAGUUCUUAGCCAAAAUUGACGAAAUAAAAUGAAAAAGAUUCCAAUUUCAUGUCUUAAAUGAAAUGAGUGGACUAGAAUCGGCAGUAUUCUAAUAGAUAGAUAGUAUGGUAGAAAGAUUCAUCUAUUUCUUUCUACCAUACUAUUUAUUAGUUAGAUUCUUGUUAUAAAGCUGCCCCCUGGAAUAAAAUAAAGAUAGAGGCUGCAUUUGAUAUGGAUCUAUAUAUCAAUCUACAAUAUUAUCUUGAUAUAUGUGAAUAUCAAUUCCAUAUAUGGGAUUGACAUAGCAUCCAAUUCCAUUUAUUUGCUAUAUCUAUUUGUUCUGAUCAAUCUGAAUUACUCCUAUGUCUUAUAGUUUGAAUUACUAUAUUUUUGAUUUCCAAUAUGAAUCUCAGUAUCUAUUGAGAGAAUCAAAUCAAUGAAGCAAAAGCGAUAGAUAUAGGCAUAUUCAAAAAAUCACGUAGUAAUCUUUUUUUUUUUAACAUUCCUAAGAAGUAAACCAUUGACAGUAGUUCCACGGGCAUCGAAAAGGAAGAGUAAACCUCACUGAUUUUUAAGGCCUGAACCAUGAUAUGAAAUAAGUCGAUAAAGUCUAAAUCCAAUUUCCAAAAUUCGAAAGGUAAAUGCGCAAUAUGUGACUCACCUGACGAUCUUAUUCUAAAUAGUAUCUCGUUAGACAACCACUAUGUUUAUAUCCUUUCUUUCUCAUACAAAGUGCGUAUACACUUAACAAAACCACUUUUUCUUUGAACAGUAAAGAGAGAACCAAAUAAAAAACGGGUCCGGCCCUCCUCAGUAUCACCUAGGAAGAGGCCAUUGAUUGGAAUAGAAAAUUUAGUAAGAAUUAGGUUCGAAUAAAUUUCCUGGGAUCCUUUUCCUUUCGAACUACAAACAUGGGAAUCGUUGAAAUAGCUCUUUGAUUGAAAGAGGCUGAUUCCUAUAAUACAUUACUCCAGUCGAGUCCAAUGGAAUUUCAAAAUGAAGAUAUUUUUAUUUUGUUCCAAACGUGUUGCAGAACCAUCUAGAAAGCAAUUGAUAAUGAUACAGUUUGCUUCCUUAACUCAAUUAGCAGAACCCCUAGAGUCCACUCCUUCCCCACACUACGAGUGAAAGGGAAAAAGUAAAGACUACCAUUAAAGCAGCCCAAGCAAGACUUACUAUAUCCAUAUGAAUUAUGUCCCCUAUCUCUAUAAAUAUAAAGGAAUUGUUCCAUUAUUCCUCACUAAUAAUAGUAGAAUCAAUGGCGCAGAGUCAAAAAGAACGAAGACUAUUAAUAAACCAAUCCAAUAAAUUCGC
rnacentral:lncRNA from 1 species